UCCCUGAUAACAAAGAAGUGGCUUUUUGUAUAUUGAUGAUAUGAUUUCCGACAUAUAACUUUGACAAACAAUUCAUAUGUUUGGACGAAGGAAUUGUUGACCAAUAGCUAGCAAUACUAUCCACGGCUACAAGUUACAAUGCACGGUCUACCUAGUUCAGCUCAGUGCUUUUGUUCUCUGAAAAAUGUGAAAGGGAACCAGCAGAAAUCCUACUCCGUCCAUCAAAAAGUCAUAGUUGCUGCUGCGGUUAUAGCCAAAAUGGAGUUAGGCACAGGCCAUGUACGCAUGGGCCCAUGUGCUCGCUGUUGCUUUCAAGAAAAGCUCAAAUUAGACCCCUCCUUUCUAGCCUUCUAUUAUUUAGCCACUGGAUAAAAUCCAUCAGAAGCAGCACCCUUUCCAAUUUUAUGUUCUGCCCCUCAAUUCAGUUGGCAAUUCUUAACCUGCUAGAUUGUUAAUAGAAAAAAAAAGAUCCCUAACUACCAAUACUGAACCUUGCUUUCGUCCUUUUUCUUAUUGCAAAUGUGUUUUGGUUCACUUCUCCAGUCCAAGUCUGGCUAGAAAAUAAGCCAGGUUAGAUCAAGCCUGGCUCAAGACCCUCUUGUUUGGUUGCUGUAGUAGCUAAGCCUGGUCUAGGUAGAGUUUUGUUUGGUUUCUUGGCUUGAUAUGGUACCAUCACCUUGUCAAUGAAAUGGUGAGCUUACCUCUGUCACUUCUGGUGAAACAUUUUGUCGAACACAUGGUGAGCUCCUGCCGACAUGAACCACCACCUGCUACCGGCGAGGAGGAGGCCGAAGUGGAGCGUGCCUGCCACCACCGACGAGCACCUCCGCUGCGUCAGUGCCCGUACCACGGCAGGCACGGCAGACCAGGACGAGCACACGGCGGGGCCGGCGGAUCACUCUCCAUCACUACCUGAAGAUCCUGAAGCACAGAUCAUUUAACAUUUUAAAUCCUCCACAUUGGGCGGACUGAUCGAGACGGCAGUGCCAUUGCCGCAUUGAGGAAGACUUGCUGCACCGAGGAAGACUUGCUGCAUUGAGGAAGACUUGCUGCAUCGAGGAGGACAGCAGCGCCCAAGGACACGGCCGGGUGGGCGCGGAAGGAGCAGGUGGCGCCGCCGCUGCCGCAGGUCCUAGAGCAAGUGGCGUAGAAGGAGCAGUUGACACGCGGUGCGGCGCCGGCGCCGUGCCCGUCACCAUGGUUGCUCGCCCGCUUGGAGAAGCCGUAGGGGAGGAUGUCGAAUCGCUGAGCCGGUGCUCAUAUGAUUCUUGGACGACGAGAAGGAGCAACCAGCCAACAUCUCGGAGAUGCGGCCGGAUGCGAUGUGGCAAGCAGAGACCUCUUUCCUCCUCUGUUCUCGCCGUGGGGAGAGGGGGCGGUGAGCAGAUGCGCAGACAAGGCCUGGCCAAGCCAGGUCCAGAAAAGGGGAAUCCCAUUUCUUUCUUCUGUGGCCAGGCUAGAGGGGUACGGAUGGCUCCCCUAAGCCAGGCCUCAGCCUAUUUACAGCCUACCAAACAGGUUCAUCUUGGCUCUAGAGAAUCAGGCCAGGGGUUAGCCAACCAACCAAACAGACCCUAUAGUUUCUCUGGGACACCACAGUUGACUGUGUCUCAACUGUCACAGCACAAGCAGUAGUAUUAGAAAGCUAUUUGAAAAAAUCAUGUUUAAACAUUUCAAAGAUAUAAGAGAAGAUUUAGUCUCUUCAGAAUUAUGCUCAAGAGUCAGAUCAGACUUGGUUGUAAUACACUGUAACCGUCACUGAUAAUAGUUUCAUAAAACAAGCUAUUAUGCGUUAUCUA